AGAGUAAAGGGGCAGGAUCACCUCCUUCAACCUGCUGGUCACACUCCUUUUGAUGCAGCCCAGGAUACGAAAAAGUUUCUUCCCGAAAAGGGUUGUCAGGCAUUGAAAUGGGCUGCCCUGGGAAUGGUCGAGUCACCACCCCUGGAGGUAAUUAAAAGAUGGGUAGAUGGGGCACUUAGGGACAUGGUUUAACAGUGGACCUGGCAGUGCUCGGUUAACAGUUGGAUUCCAUGAUCUUUGAAGUCUUUUCCAGUCUAAAUGAUUCUAUGAAAUGUGGGCUUCUAUAGUUUGAAUAUACUGGCAUCAUUUUGGAUAUAGAAAGAGAGGAAUCCUUAAUGCACUGUUGUAACUUGGAGCUAGCACAGAAGCUGACAAAGCCUGAAGCAUGCUGGUGGGGAGAGGUGCAUUGAGGCCCUUUUUCUGCUCCCUUAGUAAAGGAGUAAGUGUUCUGGACUAGCAUACAGGGCAAGUA